UAGCAGGACCAAGGGCUUCUCCUUCCAUU
rnacentral:piRNA from 1 species